AACAGGAUUAGAUACCCUGGUAGUCCAUGCCGUAAACGUUGGGCACUAGGUGUGGGGCUCAUUCCACGAGUUCCGUGCCGCAGCAAACGCAUUAAGUGCCCCGCCUGGGGAGUACGGCCGCAAGGCUAAAACUCAAAGAAAUUGACGGGGGCCCGCACAAGCGGCGGAGCAUGCGGAUUAAUUCGAUGCAACGCGAAGAACCUUACCAAGGCUUGACAUACACCGGAAAAGUGCAGAGAUGUGCUCCCCGCAAGGUCGGUGUACAGGUGGUGCAUGGUUGUCGUCAGCUCGUGUCGUGAGAUGUUGGGUUAAGUCCCGCAACGAGCGCAACCCUCGUCCCAUGUUGCCAGCGGGUAGUGCCGGGGACUCAUGGGAGACUGCCGGGGUCAACUCGGAGGAAGGUGGGGAUGACGUCAAAUCAUCAUGCCCCUUAUGUCUUGGGCUUCACGCAUGCUACAAUGGCCGGUACAAAGGGCUGCGAUGCCGCGAGGUGGAGCGAAUCCCAAAAAGCCGGUCUCAGUUCGGAUUGGGGUCUGCAACUCGACCCCAUGAAGUCGGAGUCGCUAGUAAUCGCAGAUCAGCAACGCUGCGGUGAAUACGUUCCCGGGCCUUGUACACACCGCCCGUCAAGUCACGAAAGUCGGUAACACCCGAAGCCGGUGGCCCAACCCCUUGUGGGAGGGAGCUGUCGAAGGUGGGACUGGCGAUUGGGACUAAGUCGUAACAAGGUAACC
rnacentral:rRNA from 1 species